rnacentral:rRNA from 1 species
GACGAACGCUGGCGGCGUGCCUAAUACAUGCAAGUUGAGCGAUGAAGAUUGGUGCUUGCACCAAUUUGAAGAGCAGCGAACGGGUGAGUAACGCGUGGGGAAUCUGCCUUUGAGCGGGGGACAACAUUUGGAAACGAAUGCUAAUACCGCAUAACAACUUUAAACAUAAGUUUUAAGUUUGAAAGAUGCAAUUGCACCACUCAAAGAUGAUCCCGCGUUGUAUUAGCUAGUUGGUGAGGUAAAGGCUCACCAAGGCGAUGAUACAUAGCCGACCUGAGAGGGUGAUCGGCCACAUUGGGACUGAGACACGGCCCAAACUCCUACGGGAGGCAGCAGUAGGGAAUCUUCGGCAAUGGACGAAAGUCUGACCGAGCAACGCCGCGUGAGUGAAGAAGGUUUUCGGAUCGUAAAACUCUGUUGGUAGAGAAGAACGUUGGUGAGGGUGGAAAGCUCAUCAAGUGACGGUAACUACCCAGAAAGGGACGGCUAACUACGUG